rnacentral:tRNA from 1 species
GGGACUAUAGUUAAUAAUAACAUUUGAGUUGCAUUCAAAAAGUACUACUUCAGUAGUUAGCCUCA